GGUGGCUCAAUGGUAGAGCACUUGCCUUGCAUGCAUGAGGCCCUGGGUUCGAUUCCUCAGCACCA
rfam:Dipodomys ordii contig_67212, whole genome shotgun sequence.